GAUGGAGAACGUAGCGAAAUGCGAUAAGUAGUGUGAAUUGCAGAAUUCAGUGAAUCAUCGAAUCUUUGAACGCACAUUGCGCCCCUUGGUAUCCCGAGGGGCAUGCCUGUUCGAGCGUCAUUUCACCACUCAAGCCUGGCUUGGUGUUGGGCGACGUCCUCUUUGGGGACGCGCCUCGAAACGCUCGGCGGCGUGGCACCGGCUUUAAGCGUAGCAGAAUCUUUCGCUUUGGAAGUCGGGGCCCCGUCUGCCGGAAGACCUGCUCGCAAGGUUGACCUCGGAUCAGGCAGGGAUACCCGCUGAACUUAAGCAUAUCAAUAAGCGGAGGA
rnacentral:misc_RNA from 1 species